rnacentral:rRNA from 1 species
AGGACGAACGCUGGCGGCGUGCUUAACACAUGCAAGUCGAGCGGUAAGGCCCUUUCGGGGGUACACGAGCGGCAACGGGUGAGUAACACGUGGGUGACCUGCCCUUAGCUCUGGGAUAAGCCUGGGAAACUGGGUCUAAUACCGGAUAUGACCUCGCGAUGCAUGUCGUGGGGUGGAAAGCCUUGUGCGGCUAGGGAUGGGCCCGCGGCCUAUCAGCUUGUUGGUGGGGUGAUGGCCUACCAAGGCGACGACGGGUAGCCGGCCUGAGAGGGCGACCGGCCACACUGGGACUGAGACACGGCCCAGACUCCUACGGGAGGCAGCAGUGGGGAAUCUUGCGCAAUGGGCGAAAGCCUGACGCAGCGACGCCGCGUGAGGGAUGACGGCCUUCGGGUUGUAAACCUCUUCAGCCCUGACGAAGCGAAGUGACGGUAGGGCAGAAGAGCACCGGCAACUACGUGCCAGCAGCCGCGGUAA